GGAAAAAUUGGAGAAAGCUGUAUUUUCAGCAUAUCUUUGUUGCUUUAAAACUAUUAUCGAUACAAGCAUUACUAUCAAAUCUAAUGAUGUACAAUUCAAUGACUGUAUGGGCCGCUCAGUUGACCUGUUUUUCAAUCGUAUUUACAAUGGACCGAACGAAAAUAAGUUCAAUGAUUUGAAGUAUUAUUUGGAGGCCUUUAUUGAAGGAAAAACUGCAUGCAUUUUCAGUCAUGGGUGCACCGGAAGCGGUAAAUCAAUGACAAUGUUCGGCGAUGCGAAUUCAGCGGGUAUUUUAAAGGAAGCUGUCACGUAUAUUUUGGAAAAUAAACCAGCAUAUGUUUCGGC